GAGUUUUAGGUCUUUUGGAAUGGGGACAGCAUAUAUGUAAGAUGUAGCUGCUAGAGUUUCCCGGUAUCAUGGCGGAUGUGUAAGGAUUCGCCACCAGAGGAAUCAGAUUUUAAUAAGGCUUACAAGAUUAGGUUUUAGUUGUUGUGCCCAGAGAUUGAGUUACCAUUGUUUCUGAACUAAGUUUGUGUUGGCUUUCCCUUCACACAGUGGGGGCGGCUCAUCUGGGUUCAAGAGAGAAAGGUAUCCUGUAAAGCAUGGGUGUGCUAAAUGUGCAACACAAAGGUUGUGGGGGAUUUGAAGCACAGGUGGGCUUGGUAAGGACCCACCAGUGGGAACCUAGGGGGCUGGGUGGAGAGAUUGUGGAGUUCUGAGUCAGAGUCUCCAUGAGAUAAAACAAGUUGACCAAUGCCUGACCAGACCACUGGGGCAGAGAGUUGCUGGCACAAGCAUGGGAACGUGUCAGUUCUUUUUUAAUAUUUCCCACAACAAAUAUAUAUCCUGAUUACAGUUUCCCCUCCCUCUACCCCCCUCCCCGUUCCUCCCUGAAUUUCAGGGUUCAGACUACAAACUGCUUCUGUGUGACUAAGAGAAGAAGAAUCAGAGUAAAGAGAAACAUACUCUCUUAAUCUCCGAAGAUUAACGGCAGGAGGAGCUCUAGAAUUUCACAAAGGUGCUGUCAGGACACAUGAAAAUCUAGAGAAAAAGACCAGCUUGAAGAGACCAAAAAGAAGAAAGCCUGCCAAUCACAUCCUCCAGAGAUUCUGAGACACACACACCCCUGGUGUAGGGGGACACCAUCUGAAAGGUGACACCCAUUCUACGGAAUAUAAGUACCAGCUAAAGAGGACACACACUUGAAGAAAAAGGAGACAAUGAGGUAUUUUGCCUGCUCAUAUGUCUAUGCCUGGUGCCCCCAGAGGCCAGAAGAGGACAUCAGGAGUUAAAGACAGUUGUGACCCACCAUGUGCUAUAUGACAAACCCAGGCUCUCUGGAAGAGCAGCCAGUGAGUGCUCGUGAAUGCUGAGCCAUCUCCCUAGCAAUCAAACUGGAGAAAUGAUGGCAUUGUGCCAGGUUGGAUUAGGUUAAAUAAAAAUCGUAAUCAUUGGCUA
rnacentral:lncRNA from 1 species